rnacentral:rRNA from 1 species
UACAGGAGGUCUCAACCGUUGUUCGGAUUCAUUGGGCGUAAAGGGUGCGUAGGCGGUCGUGCAAGUCGACUGUGAAAUCUCCGGGCUUAACCCGGAAAGGUCAGCCGAAUACUGCAGGGCUAGAGUGCAGAAGGGGCAACUGGAAUUCUCGGUGUAGCGGUGAAAUGCGUAGAUAUCAAGUGGAACACCAGUGGCGAAGGCGAGUCCCUGGACAUUUCCUGACACUGAGGCACGAAAGCUAGGGGAGCAAACAGG